AAGAGACCCUCCUGUGCUAAAGGGCCCUGGCAGAGAUUACACACCUAACCUGGGACGUAAAGUGACUGAGUAUCCAGAUUUGCCACCAGGAGCUGAGUUCUGUCACAUUCACCCAGCCUUAGGGCUGGGAGGGGUCAGCAGCAUUCCGUCAUCAGGUGGGAGUAGGUCUGGGAACAGCCAUGAGUCAGGAAUAUAAGCAAGCUGCAUGAGUAGCUGGCCCUGUUCCUGUGUCAACUAUUCUUUGUACCAGUGCCUCUGUCCUAGCUCAUAUGAAUGUGGAUUAGCUUUCUAUUGUUGCCUAACUAUAUUAUAAACUUAGCAGCCUACAUUAGUAGAUACUAAAUAUUUCAUAGUUUCUGUGGGUCAGAGCUUGAGCAUGACUUAGCUGGGCCCUCUUCAGGUUCUCACAAAACUGAUUGAGACAUGGACAGGCUGUUAUUAUCUGAGGAUCAACCCCAGGGUGAUUCAGUCCCAGCUGCAUGUACUUAUUUGUCAGAAUCCAGUUCCUUGCCCACUGCCACCUUGAGGGGCUUGGUUUCUGAUUGGCCGUUGGAGAGACGCCCCCUUUAGGUCCUUGUCACCUGUUCCUUCCAUGUGGCAGCUCAUAACAUAGUCACUUGCUCCUUCAAAGCAAAUGAGUCAUGAGGAAUGCCUUGCAAGAUGGGUCUUACCAUAUUUUUUUUUUUUUAAGAUUUAUUUACUGAUGGCUCCACUGGGUCUUCAUUGCUGCGUGUGGGGUUUCUCUCGUUGCAGUGAGCAGGGGCUGCUCUCCUGCUGUGGUGCAUGGGCUUCUCACUGUGGUUUAUUUUGUUGUGGAACAUGGGCUCUAGGCAUGUGGGCUUCAGUAGUUGUGGUGCACCGACUCUCUUGUCGCUUGGCACGUGGGAUCUUCCCAGAUCAAGGACCAAACCUGUGUCCCCUGCAUUGGCAGGCAGGUUUAUGACCAGUGAGCCACCAGGGAAGCCCAGGGGCCUUGCUAUCUCAUGUCAUGUAUUAUGUACGGAUUCUCUUGUACGUCCCAUUGCCUUUGCUUUAUUCCACUGAUGAGAAGCAAGUUGCAGAACUUUCCCACACUGAAGAGAUUGCCUGAGAGAGGGAACACCAGGACGCAGGGCUCAUGGGGGCCACUCUGCAACCUGCCUGCCUCAGACUGCAUGGAGGAUUCCAAUGACAAGCUGACAGAGGAGGAUAAAGGCUAAGCUUGGUUCGUGGACAGGCCUCCUGGGACCUGAGCCCAAGGCAGGAAAUCCAAGCUGCAGGCCCGUCGUAGCACCUGGACAACUUCUGCCCAUCACAUGGGUAACGAAAGUGGACCCAGGAACCUUUGAAAAUUACUGAGCUGCCUCCAAGGGAGCACGUUCAUUGAUGACCUGGAGCCAGGCUUGAGAGGUUCUUGGGUAGAGUGGAAGGAAAUGAGGUUAAGGGAGAGGGAGAUAAGCCUCCAGUAGCAGGCUGAGGAGUUCGGCUUUAAUACAGGUGAAGACAGUGG
ensembl:lncRNA